rnacentral:rRNA from 1 species
GUUUACAACUCCCAAACCCACUGUGAACAUACCUUUUUGUUGCUUCGGCGGGACUGCCCCGGUGCCUUGGUGCCCGGACUCAUGGCGCCCGCCGGAGGCCCUAAACUCUUUGUUUUAUACAUGGUUUUUCUGAGUGGCGCAAGCAAAAAAUAAAUCAAAACUUUCAACAACGGAUCUCUUGGUUCUGGCAUCGAUGAAGAACGCAGCGAAAUGCGAUAAGUAAUGUGAAUUGCAGAAUUCAGUGAAUCAUCGAAUCUUUGAACGCACAUUGCGCCCGCUAGUAUUCUGGCGGGCAUGCCUGUUCGAGCGUCAUUUCAACCCUCAGGGCCCUUUGGACCUGGCGUUGGGGCUCGGCCGCUACCCCGCGGCCGUCCCCGAAAGAUAGUGGCGGUCUCGCUGUAGCUUCCUCUGCGUAGUAAUUACACCUCGCACUGGAACGCGGCGCGGCCACGCCGUAAAACACCCCACUUCUCAAGGUUGACCUCGGAUCAGGUAGGAAUACCCGC